GACAGAGGGGGCAAGCGUUGCUCGGAAUUACUGGGCGUAAAGGGCGCGUAGGCGGGAUGGCAAGUCGGUCGUGAAAUCCCUCGGCUCAACCGAGGAACGUCGAUCGAUACUGCUGUUCUUGAGGAUUGCAGAGGAGACUGGAAUUCCCGGUGUAGCGGUGAAAUGUGUAGAGAUCGGGAGGAACACCGGUGGCGAAGGCGGGUCUCUGGGCAAUUCCUGACGCUGAGGCGCGAAAGCGUGGGGAGCAAACGGGG
rnacentral:rRNA from 1 species